rnacentral:rRNA from 1 species
UGCAGUCGAGCGGACUUAAAAAGCUUGCUUUUUAAGUUAGCGGCGGACGGGUGAGUAACACGUGGGCAACCUGCCUGUAAGACUGGGAUAACUUCGGGAAACCGGAGCUAAUACCGGAUAAUCCUUUUCUACUCAUGUAGAAAAGCUGAAAGACGGUUUACGCUGUCACUUACAGAUGGGCCCGCGGCGCAUUAGCUAGUUGGUGAGGUAACGGCUCACCAAGGCGACGAUGCGUAGCCGACCUGAGAGGGUGAUCGGCCACACUGGGACUGAGACACGGCCCAGACUCCUACGGGAGGCAGCAGUAGGGAAUCUUCCGCAAUGGACGAAAGUCUGACGGAGCAACGCCGCGUGAGUGAUGAAGGUUUUCGGAUCGUAAAACUCUGUUGUUAGGGAAGAACAAGUACGAGAGUAACUGCUCGUACCUUGACGGUACCUAACCAGAAAGCCACGGCUAACUACGUGCCAGCAGCCGCGGUAAUACGUAGGUGGCAAGCGUUGUCCGGAAUUAUUGGGCGUAAAGCGCGCGCAGGCGGUCCUUUAAGUCUGAUGUGAAAGCCCACGGCUCAACCGUGGAGGGUCAUUGGAAACUGGGGGACUUGAGUGCAGAAGAGAAGAGUGGAAUUCCACGUGUAGCGGUGAAAUGCGUAGAGAUGUGGAGGAACACCAGUGGGCGAAGGCGACUCUUUGGUCUGUAACUGACGCUGAGGCGCGAAA